AGGACGAACGCUGGCGGCGUGCUUAACACAUGCAAGUCGAACGCUGAAGCCUAGCUUGCUGGGUGGAUGAGUGGCGAACGGGUGAGUAACACGUGAGUAACCUGCCCUCUUCUUUGGGAUAACGCCCGGAAAUGGGUGCUAAUACUGGAUAUUCACUGGUCUUCGCAUGGGGGUUGGUGGAAAGGGUUUUUCUGGUGGGGGAUGGGCUCGCGGCCUAUCAGCUUGUUGGUGGGGUGAUGGCCUACCAAGGCUUUGACGGGUAGCCGGCCUGAGAGGGUGACCGGUCACAUUGGGACUGAGAUACGGCCCAGACUCCUACGGGAGGCAGCAGUGGGGAAUAUUGCACAAUGGGCGCAAGCCUGAUGCAGCGACGCCGCGUGAGGGAUGGAGGCCUUCGGGUUGUGAACCUCUUUCGCUCAUGGUCAAGCCGCAACUGUGGGUUGUGGUGAGGGUAGUGGGUAAAGAAGCGCCGGCUAACUACGUGCCAGCAGCC
rnacentral:rRNA from 1 species